AACAAAGAAUAAAAGGUCGAGCCUGCCCGGUGACUAUAUGUUUAACGGCCGCGGUAUUUUAACCGUGCAAAGGUAGCGCAAUCACUUGUCUUUUAAAUGAAGACCUGUAUGAAUGGUAUUACGAGGGCUUAACUGUCUCCUUUUUCAAGUCAGUGAAAUUGAUCUCCCCGUGCAGAAGCGGGGAUAAAACCAUAAGACGAGAAGACCCUAUGGAGCUUUAAGACACUAAGGCAAAUCAAGUUAAACACCCCCAAACAAAGGACUAAACCUAUUGAACUCUUGCCCGUAUGUCUUCGGUUGGGGCGACCAUGGGGAAACAAAAAACCCCCACGUGGAACGGGAGCACAACUACUCCUACAGCUGAGAGCUGCCGCUCUAAUAAGCAGAACUUCUGACCAAUAACUGAUCCGGCAACGCCGAUCAACGGACCAAGUUACCCUAGGGAUAACAGCGCAAUCCCCUUUUAGAGCCCCUAUCGACAAGGGGGUUUACGACCUCGAUGUUGGAUCAGGACAUCCCAAUGGUGCAGCCGCUAUUGAAGGUUCGUUUGUUCAACGAUUAAAGUCCUACGUGAUCUGAGUUCAGACCGG
rnacentral:rRNA from 1 species